GACAGAGGCCUCGAGCGUUAGGCGGAAUCACUGGGCUUAAAGCGUGUGUAGGCGGAUGCCUAAGUACCUUGUGAAAUCCCACGGCUCACCCGUGGAACCGCUGGGUAUACUGGGCAUCUUGGGCCAUUCAGGGGCAACUGGAACAAGCGGUGGAGCGGUGAAAUGCGUAGAUAUCGGGAGGAACACCGGUGGCGAAGGCGGUUCUCUGGGCCUGUACUGACGCUGAGGAGCGAAAGCGUGGGGAGCGAACAGG
rnacentral:rRNA from 1 species